rnacentral:rRNA from 1 species
UACGUAGGGUCCGAGCGUUGUCCGGAAUUAUUGGGCGUAAAGAGCUCGUAGGCGGCCUGCUAAGUCGAACGUGAAAUCCCUGGGCUCAACCCAGGAACUGCGUCCGAUACUGGUUGGCUUGAAUCCGGGAGAGGGAUGUGGAAUUCCAGGUGUAGCGGUGAAAUGCGUAGAUAUCUGGAGGAACACCGGUGGCGAAGGCGACAUCCUGGACCGGUAUUGACGCUGAGGCGCGAAAGCCAGGGGAGCAAACGGG